AUGGGGAGUGGUGUGGGUGGAUGCCCUGCCCCGUUCGCCGUGGCGGACUACCUCGUCGCGUCUUGCCACCUCACCCCGGCGCAGGCCGUCAAGGCCUCCAAGGUCCUCUCCCGCCUCAAGUCCCCCUCCAAGCCCGAGGCCGUCCUCGCCUUCCUCUCCGACCUCGGCCUCUCCGACGCCGACGUCGCCGCCGUCGUCGUGUACGACCCUCUCCUCCUCUGCUCCGAGGUCGACAAGACCCUCGUCCCGCGCCUCACCGAGCUCCGGGACCUCGGGCUCUCCCCGUCCCAGAUCGCCCGCCUCGUCCUGGUCGACCCCGCCCGCUUCCGCCGCCCCACCAUCAUCUCCAAGCUGCAGUACUACGUCCCCCUCUUCGGCUCCUUCGAGAACCUCCUCCAGGCGCUCAAGUACAACUCCUACCUCCUCAGCUCCGACCUGGAGAACGUUGUCAAGCCCAACGUCGCGCUCCUCCGGGAGUGCGGGCUAGGUGACUGUGAUAUUGCCAAGCUAUGCAUCCCUGUGCCGAGGUUGCUCACCAGCAAGCCAGAGCGCAUCCAGGCCAUGGUGGCGCGUGCCGAAGAUGUCGGUGUGCCCCGUGGCUCUGCGAUGUUCAGGCACGCGCUGUUGGCUGUCGCAUUCCUCAGCGAGGAGAAGAUUGCUGCUAAGGUGGAGUUCCUGAAGAAGACUUUCAGGUGGUCGGAAGCUGAGGUGGCCAUUGCUGUUGCCAAGCUUCCUGUGGUGCUGAGGAACUCCCAGGAGAGGCUGUUGCGCAUGUCGGAAUUCUUGAUGUCCGAGGUUGGGUUAGAGCCGGAGUACAUUGCUCACAGGCCGGCAAUGCUCACUUAUAGCUUAGAGGCCCGGCUCAAACCUCGGUACUAUGUUGUGAAGUUCCUUAAAGAAAAUGGAUUGCUAAAGCCUAACCGAAGCUUCUACACCGCAGCCCAGGUGAGUGAGAAGGUAUUCGUGGACAAGUUCAUACGUCCUCACAAGGAAGCUGCGCCUCGCCUUGCUGAAGACUAUGCUGCUACUCUCAAAGGGGAAGUGCCCACUAGAUUCAGAUUGCAAGAACCAAGAACAGGCUUGAAUAGUAUUUAA
rnacentral:rRNA from 1 species